UUUGUUCCUCUGUAGGCUGGGUACAUCUUCACUGGAGUUUCUCAACGCAGAGACACAAGAGUGUACUGGAGCCAGAGUAGAAUCUCCACGAAGGGUGAACUCUUCUUCGUAACAGAGAGGCCCAAGAAGAGGGAGAAAGAUGGAGGAGUGGCUGUUUGAUGGAAGAGUCAGAAAACACACAACAUUUGUUGGUUGAGUUUGCCAUCUUAUGUAAGUGUGGUUCAUGGGGCCCCAAAACAAUUGUAAUAGUAAGAUCAAAUAACAGAGUUUACAGAUCACCAUAAGAGACACAAUAAUGGAGAAAAAGUUUUUCUUUUUAUAUUGUUAGAAUUGUUAGAAUAUUGUUAGAAUUACCAAAAUGUGACACAGACACAUAAAUAUGUGCCAAUGCUAUUGGAAAAAUGUUAUCUCUAGACUUGCUAUACCCAGGAUUGCCACAAGUCUUCAAUUUAUAAAAAAUGCAAUAUCUAUGAGUACAAUAAAGUGA
rnacentral:lncRNA from 1 species